UCAAAGAGUUCGCCUCACUGAUGAAGAAUACCUAAAGAUUUCAGUGAACGUGAUAAUUUGCAAGGGAAAUGGUAGUGUGGAGGCAGAUGCAAAAGGGAAGGGGUCAAUCUAAUUGUUUGAUAAAUCUUAGUUCUUGGGGUGUGACAUAACUUUUGUAUAUUAGUAUGUUAUUAUGCACAACUUUAUGUGGAUGUAGUUCGUGAAUGAUGGUUUUCAAUUUAUGGUGGUCUGAUAAUAAUCAUAGAGAAAUGCUGGUUGUUACUACUCUCUCAUUUGCAUUCGGUUUAUACCAGUGG
rnacentral:lncRNA from 1 species